GAUGAACGCUAGCGGCAGGCCUAACACAUGCAAGUCGAGGGGUAGAGUUAGCUUGCUAACUUGAGACCGGCGCACGGGUGCGUAACGCGUAUGCAAUCUACCUUGUACAGAGGGAUAGCCCAGAGAAAUUUGGAUUAAUACCUCAUAGUAUCUUUACCUGGCAUCGGGUAAUUAUUAAAGUUCCAACGGUACAAGAUGAGCAUGCGUCCCAUUAGUUAGUUGGUAAGGUAACGGCUUACCAAGACAAUGAUGGGUAGGGGUCCUGAGAGGGAGAUCCCCCACACUGGUACUGAGACACGGACCAGACUCCUACGGGAGGCAGCAGUGAGGAAUAUUGGUCAAUGGACGCAAGUCUGAACCAGCCAUGCCGCGUGCAGGAAGACGGUCCUAUGGAUUGUAAACUGCUUUUAUACAGGAAGAAACAACUCUACGUGUAGAGUCUUGACGGUACUGUAGGAAUAAGGAUCGGCUAACUCCGUGCCAGC
rnacentral:rRNA from 1 species